AGAUAACGCAGGUGUCCUA
rnacentral:snRNA from 1 species